AAGUCGUAACAAGGUUUCCGUAGGUGAACCUGCGGAAGGAUCAUUAACACGUAUCCAACGUUAAACCCCCCGUGAAAGCGGCAAUCCCUGGUAAAUCAUCGCCGAACAGUUUUGAUUCAGGGACUUCUGUGGAGCGCGGAAAACGAGGCGAGGCAAGUGGUCUGGCAUCCCUCUGCUUGUUAGUGUCUGACAGUGUCACUAGCUCUGUAAGGAUGGCGCAGUAACGAUCGCUAGAGGCCGACACGGCCGGCGACCGGACCGCCGGGCUAUACGCUCCUUUAUCACCUUUGCAUGAAAACGGGCCUGCGCUUAAUUGUGCGGCCACCAAAAACCGAACAACUGUUAACAAUGGAUAUCUUGGUUCUC
rnacentral:misc_RNA from 1 species